CUGGGUUAAUAUAUUAUGAAGACCUUAACUCGGAGUCCUGAAAACAAAAGAACUUUGCAUCGGAGUCUAGUAAUUCAAACAAAAGGAGCACAUGGUGUUUCCACUCUCCAGUCCCAAAGAAACGAUGUGGACUUUUUGUGUAUGCCCGGUAACGUCGUAUGGAAUUUCUACUGCGCUCAUUUUCAAAUUAAUAGAUGUAGCUGACUAAUUAGAAGAAGAAAAAAAAGAUGCUGACGUACGGUAGUGUGAUCCAGGGGUUCAUUUUGCUUCUUGACACAAACUUGAGUCUUUUUCUUUAUUAUUACCCCGAAACACCUUCCUACCUAUACUUUGGUUAACUCAGGAAGACACUGACUCUACCAAACUACAUGUAAGCAAACACUAGUUGCACUACAUAAACCGUUGGUUGAGAAGAGUAGACGAAAAGGGACCCAGUCCAGUAUUCUCCUCUAGAAGAUUAGGUCGCUGUAGCCAUGAUUGUGAGUAGUGACUAAGGUUUUUCCAGUGGGCGAUGCAAGACCGGAAGACACUAUAGUUGAAGGUGUGUGUAUAUAUAUAUGAGGUGACCCUGUUAAGCCUCGACUUACAAUUUAGAAAGAACAAGGAGGAAGAAAGCAGGUGACACCUUUGCGGAAGGCACACCAAGAAGAUGGCAGUGCCGGUUUACAGCAUCACAAGGGCAGAAAUCGAGGAGUUCUGGAGGAGAAAGGAGAUGGAAGAAAAGGAGCAGCGCCUUACUGCCGAGAAGGAGGCUGCAAGAAUCAAAGUCAAGACACUCAUGGUCAGUUCUUCUUGUUGAUCCACUUGUAUUGUUGCGUUUAUCAAUCACUAUCUCGACUUCUGAUCUCUUUAAUUUACUAGCUCAAGUUCAGUAUGACAUUUAGCAUAUAUAGCAGAUAAAUCGAAGCGAGUAAACAAAAACUGAUCUUUAGCAUGAUCUUGGAAUUCAAAUCCGAAAGAAAAAAAAAUACCGUGACUUGGUGUGUCUGAAUUGUUUGAAAAAGCAGAUCGAGG
rnacentral:lncRNA from 1 species